GAGCUUCUUACUAGUUUUGUCAGCAAUCGCAACUACUGCUCUUUCUGGCAGUCACCCUUUCGGGAAGUUGUUUGUGAAAAUCUGAGUAAGGAAGGAAAGCCAACGACCUCAUCCAGUCUAAGGUUCACUCUUUUAAGCCCGGAUGUCAGUUUACCAGUCAGACAGAGGAAGGAAGCUUCCACUGACAUCCUAUGCGCUCAAGUUCUAUGAAUAGGGACCUUCAUCUACCUGUACAGUACAGGGCCAUUCAAAAGCAAUUAAAUUUGGUUAAAAUAAGAAAGAAAUGCUUUUUAAAGGAAAAAAAAAAAGGUUUGAGGGGAUUGCAAAAGUUGAUUGUGCUAAAGCACUUUUACACAGGUUUGUUUUAGUUCUCAAUUGUCAAGUUGUAUUUAAGCUGGUCUCUUACUCUGAAAUAUGAUAACCUUUCUUUUCUCUGAGUUCUUUCUGCUAAAUUAAUAGCACUGUCUCUAAUUCCAUGCGCAGCAAGCAGAGUUUAUUUUACCAGAUAACAGUAGGUCUGGUGAUCAGCCAAUGUCUAAAGAGCCACAAGCCAAGUUAGUAGUAUGCCAAAGACUGCAACUGAUAAAUAGAUACUUCUCACUAAAUCACUUUAAAAUUGACUUUCAUCUUCUCUACCAGACAGUAUUAUCCGUGUUGAGUUCUGACACAACUGAAAGUAGGGGGAAAAAAAAAACUUAUCUAUAAAAAUAAAAUCAUACUAGGAUUUUGACAGGAGGUAAAUGAGGCACAUUCUAAUGUAGAAGGCAGUUAAUAUGAAACACAAAGCCUUUUAGGUUCGGAAUUAAAUUGCAAAAAAAAAAAAAUUAGAAGAAAAGUCCAAAUUUAGGAAAGUCAUUAUAGUAUAUUUCAGCAUACACUGAAAAUUGCUUUUAAAAAUGGACUCUUCAGGGAACUGGCAACUUUUUUUUUUUUUUUUUUUAUAGCAUCUGUGUGUACCUCUCUUCUUUGCAAAGGAACAAAACUGCAAUGGUCAGAACAAAGUUUGGUUUCCUCUCACCACUCCCAACUCAGGUCACAUUUCCUCAGCAUUAAAUGUGGGAAGUGGAGGAGUAAAAGCAGAAAUGCAGCUCGUUUCUUAGCCCCCACUCUGCAGUUGCCUUGAAUUCCUAAUGAUUAUGCCAACUGCCCUUAAUUAUUUCUCCAAAGGGAGACACAGGAAAGAAAAGUAUAUUUGGGAUACAAUAGGAUUCUGGCGUUUAAAUACCUAAAAAUCACUAUUAAAGAUGACAUAAAAAUGAUAGGGAUGGCUCAAUGUUUAUAAAUCCCUGUAUUUAUAUAAAUUGUUAAUCAUGAGUAUACACAUUAGCUUCCAUAGUUUCUUCUUCAGAACCCUAAGGACAGUCCUGCAUUUUCCAAAAGACAGGAAAAAACUUAAUUUGGUUACAAUGCUAGCUCCACCAAUGUGUUGUGUUGCUAGCACAGCAUAUGAUGGUAGCUCAGUAAGACUGAGUUCUUUCUGAUAAAUUAACUGUCCAUUUAUUCCUAAGGUAAAAGGUGUCUAGGUAAUUUCUUACACUUUGACAAUCCAAAGAAAAACUUUAAUUAAUUUAUGCAUUACUAAGUGCUUUCUUAUUUUUUCCAAAGUUGACCACUUAUUUGAAAAAAGAUUAUUAAACAAACAACCUAUAGCAUGUAAAAAAGCAAUUCACUAUCUGACUUCUUAAUAAUGUACAUAUUAUAUAAUUACAAAUAUUAUAUAUGAUCCAAUCAGGCUCAAAAUGAAAAGCAUAGAAAUUUGAUAUCAUUUGCUUUUUUGGAAACAGACAUAUAACCUCAAAGUUGUGCCUGGUCCUCCAUUAGCAACUUCAGAGAGAAUAAAAACUACAUUCUUAAUCCAGCAACAAAUGUAUACAAAAAAUGCUUUAUAAACUGUCGUGCUUUCUACCUUGAUAUAGAUAAUCUUAUAGAAUCACAUAAUUAGGGAUAUUAACAUUACAAAUUAUCAAAAAUUAUCUCAUCUAGGAAAUGGAGGGAUUUUUAAAUGCAUUCUAUAAUUUCCUCUCUUUUUCUUUAAAUUAGGCAUUUUUUUUCACUUCAUCUUUGCACUAACCUAAACUCUAGUACAUACAUUUAACUAAUAUUUGGUCAUUCCAUAUUCUGUAAAUACAUAUACAUUUAAAUAAUAAUUAUUUAUUCCAUAAGGUCUCAGACUACUAUUAUUUAAAGAUAGUUUAUCAGUACUGCACACCUUUACCCUACUCAUUUAAAAAAAAUCUUGACUAUUAUAACAAUAUGUUUUUGAGAAAAAGGAUUCAGCUAACAACUUUUCUGUGCCUUAGGUUUCUCGCUAGUAAAGUGAGAAGGUAGUAUAGAGAUGCUUCCAUCUCUUGCAUUCUCUUAAAAAAUUUAACCUAAACACCUUUUUCUUCCUUUGAAAAAGUCAGCUUUUUAUUACACACUCUCACCCAAGCUUGAUUCAAGUCCAUCAUUAUCAUUACAUAGAUAGUGCUUCAAGAAAUUAACCAGAGUGAAGAGAAAUUUGACUCAGAAAAGAACAAAUUUUUAGAAAUGAAAGGCAAUCACUUAGAUUUUUUUUUUUUUAAAAAGAUAUCCCUGCCCACAAAUCUGAAAAGGGGUCCAUAUUUGCCUUGCUACAUUUUAAUGGUAACGUGAAUAAUGAGCUCCUUCAAUUUUAGUCACAAAUUGAGGCAGACGUAGAACCUAAAAAUUAAUUAAACUGUAAGCAAUCAUACUAACUAGUUAUAUCUCAUUCUGCAGCUCCAUAAUUUUACUUAAAACUCUGAGAAUACCUCUUAGAGAGUUUUUUUAUAAAGUAGAUUCUAGUUAAGUAUUAAUUGUGAAUUGAAUGGUUAUAUUAAGAUACUGAUAAACUUAAUUUCAAAACUAAUGGACAAUUUUGUGAAAGUGCCUACAAUUACCUGAAUAUAUAUGUGCCACCUAAACUAAGAUUAUCUGUAUAAAACAUGCAUGAAGAUGCUUCUCGUUAAGAUGCCUAAUUUUCUUUAUUGUUUAUCUCUCACGGACCUUAUCAAUUUUUGACUUAGAAAGACCAUGUUAACAAUCUUCCAUCUGUUAUCAGAAGCAUGUCUAAUCUUUUAACUGAUUUCUGAUUAAAUAACCACAGGGACAAACUUGAUCUCUUUGCAAAGCUGGAUUGGCACAUGCCCUGGAAGCCAGCACCAUUUCACCUGCUGAUCCCAGGCACUCAAAACACUCCAGCGGGACUCACUACCAAUUGCUGACAAACUUUGAAAGUUCCUCAUAAAAUUUAUCAGCUUUUGGCAAGGCACAGUACUGAUGUAACUACCAAAGGUUGAAUACCAUUUUAAUUAGUGAAAAAUGGUUCAAUUACAUAUUAUUUUUUCUUUGUACUCCUUUUAAAACUGCUUAAAUCUAUAGUAACACAAUCACAGACUAUAGCCACUAUAACUUUUAGGUAAAUCUAUCUAUGAGUAACAAACUAAAUGAAAUGAAAUUAAAUGAAAUUUGUAAGUUCCUGAAAUAAAACAUUGCUAUUAACCAUAAGCGAAUAUAUAAAACAAGACACUUAAGUUAAUGCAAAUGAAUAUAUUAUAAAAAGUAAUGCUUACUCUUUCGUACUAUCACAAUAAAUAAUAAAAAUUUGAAUAUGUUAAAGAAGAUCAAGUUACAGAGUUUGGAUUUGCAAAGUAAAAUAAUACAACUAUGCAGGUUCAUAAAUUUGUCUUAAUUCAUUUACUCCAAGCACUUGUCUCUGUAAGCUUAGAUGCUUCAAGAUCCUAACUACAAAAUUUCAGAGCCUAAUUUAUUAUGAACCCAGAAUGUUUUAAGACUUCAGUGUUUUUAAUCCAAGAAAUACAAAUUUUAGGUGAAAACAGCUGUUUUAUCUUUUGGUUUAACAACCAAAUCACACCAUCUUAAUGAAAUCAAUAAAUUAUCGCAUAAUACUAGUGUACACUACCUCAUUUAGAAACUUACUCAUCGUUACAGCAAUUGCAAAUCUAAAGGCUAGUAUGAGAACUGGACAGAGUUUAUUUCCCUCGUGUGAUGAUUCAGGCUAGUGUUUCCUUUUUAAGCAUUAAUAUCCCAUUUUCCUUUUGAAGUUCAUUAAGUGGCAAGAAUGCCUACAAAAGUAGAUUUAAGUAAACAUGUAGCUUCCCACUGAGCAAUAACUACCUAACAACCUGGCGAAAUGAAUACCAGUUCUUAGAAUAUGAACAUCCAAAUGACCAUAUAACUUUCAAGACAUUUCAUCAAAAAUGACAAAUAGAAACAACAUAAAAUCCUUAAAAUUUGUUAUUUCUCACACUGGAUGGCUUUAUAAUAAUAGAGAAGUUUCUUUUUACAGCAUUUAUUUGUGGUACUGAGAUGUUUGUUUAAAAAGACUUUAGGUAUGCAGCUACAUUUAAAUGAGAAAAUGAUGCAUCACAGUGUAGAAAUUUGAUCUUUCUGAUAUCCUUAGAGCUUUCAGGAAGGCCCAGUGUGGAAAUGAAACAUAAAUAUCUUUAGUGAAAUUACCCCUGAAUGCUAACAAAGUCAAGUUUAUAUUACAUCUGUCUUCCUUGAAGAAAGUCUUAGUUUCCAUACUUAAAAAAAAAAAAGCUGCCAUUGUGAUACUUUUUUCCACAAGCUUGAAAAAAAAAGAUAUAGCUGAAAAAGCUGAAAAAGCAACAGCCUAUCUAUUCCUCCUUAAUCAAGCAUCCUUUCCCAGCAUCACUCUAGUUGGAAGGAUUUUAAGAGGCCUCAUUUACUAAGGCAGAUGCUGGAAUAAUAAAUAAAACCAGCAGAGGGCAGACCUGCUGACAGAACCGACCAAUGCAGCUGGCGACCAGGUACCAAAGGUAAAACGCAAACUUCUGAUGGAUUCCACUUUCAAAGACUCCACUAUUUAUCUUUUAAAAUGUAGAAAUGAAUGAAUCCAUGGAAUUUGCAUAACCUAUUUCAAAAUUCAAAGGUAGUUCUAAUGAGGCUCUGACUAUUCACGAGGAAGUCACAGAGGAAUAAUCCACCACUGCAUGCUACUUAGGAAGGUGAAUGAACAUCUCUCAGUGCGGGGAAGAAGCACAGACCUGGUUUCGCCGAGUUCGGCCUCCGGGAGCGCUAAUUCCCAUUAGGGAGAACUCAGAUCUUGGCACCCACCAGGGUCAGACUCAGGUUUCCACUAAAGCCUGCGCAUUUGGGCUUCACAAUUUCUUUCUCCCUCAGCCAAUCGUUGCCACCCUCCUUCCUACCCCCUACGUCUCAACGCACUCCUGACAAAGCUUGCUUUUCCACUCUAAGCUGUUUGAGCUCCCUGAACUCCAAAGGCGUUCUCCCGCCGGCCGUGUCUACGGCACCUAACGGACCGCUCCGGCCAGAUGCCUUUGCGGGCAAGGGCGGGGGAAGGGGAGGGAGGAGGCGGAGGGGAGGAGUGAAGUCGCUCUCCCUCCUCGGGUACUGACAGGGCUGCAGUCUUCCGAGCAGCCUGGAAGAGGAAAGUCAGUGCCAGAGUUGUUAUGGUGAAAUCCCAGAGCCACCGUUUCGUUUUCCACCUAGAGGACCACCGCUCCAUCUCCGAGCCCCGCUCUCACAACUGAGAACUCAACCCACGAAAUUGCGAUUGCAGACCAACUUCGUCCCUUCCAAGACUGACGGCAGAUGAGGGGCUUCAACCAAAAAUCUGAGAGGCCUGCGUGCCCCUAAAGGCUUCAUGCCGUCAGUGGGCAGGACGAGAAGCUCUGGGCAGCCCCCUCCCCCGCCCACUCCGCUCCUGCGCCCCCCUUACCCCAGGAGAAACUGACAAGCCUGCUGAAGGUCAGACCCAAUCACACGCCUCGCGGGCGGCCCCGAGCCCGCCCCCCUCUCCUUGCCCAAGAAUCAGGUCUCCUGGCUAGCCCAGCCCACCAACCACCCCCCAUCUCCCCAUUCCACUCCUCCCUCCUCUCCUACCCAAAUCCCCGAGAAGAAAUGGGAGGGCGUUAUGGGGGACGCGUGCUUGGCUCCAGCACUUUGGGAAUGAAAGGAAUUGCAGGAGAGACCCGGAGUCCACAGAGUUUUCAAGGAGCUUCUGUAUUCAAUAAAAACAGCUACUUGUCUACUUGCA